ensembl:lncRNA
UCUCCAUUUUCAUGCUCUUUCUGCCUCACUGGAAGAACACCAUGAGAGCAUCAUGCUGGUUUCUACAGGAGCCCUUUGCUUUCUACCUAUACUUUGACCACAGUGCAGUAGGCAACUACUUUUGUGAUUAUCAGUCAAAUAGAUUUUUUUUCCCCUUAUUGAAAGAAAGUGCAUAUCUCACUAGUAUAAUGGAAGAUUUUUAUUAGCGUAACCUAAGGGCAGUCCAGAAUAAGCAGUGAUAACGUAAUCUGAAGAGGACUCUUCUGUCCGAACGGUUGAGUCUGCAGGGAUGAAGCUCUCACUGUCAUGGCAUAUGAAUACAAAAGAAAAGGCUAAACUUAAUGAAUGGCACCAGUGUUUACAGCCACAGGGUUUCCACAGCACUGAGAGGGACAAGUUGGACAUGAGGAAGAAUUUCUACUCAGAAGAAGAGAAGCUGGCAGUCCGUGGCUUGGACAGGAACACUCUUGGCUGGGAACCGUCACCCUUAGUAAGUGAACAAGAAACACACAAAGUGACUGAAGACAAAGAAUCAACAAAAGUCAUGGAGGGAUGUCACUGUACAAUUUUACAUGGUCUUUAAAAAGUAGAUGUGAAGGCACAGCAGAGAGCUUCUGUACCAUGAAUAUUCAUGUUUCCAUUGCAUCAGUUCCUAAACUAGUACUCAUCCUGAU